rnacentral:rRNA from 1 species
UACGAAGGGGGCUAGCGUUGCUCUGAAUCACUGGGCGUAAAUGGUUCGUAGGCGGGUCUUUAAGUCAGGGGUGAAAUCCUGGAGCUCAACUCCAGAACUGCCUUUGAUACUGAAGAUCUUGAGUUCGGGAGAGGUGAGUUGAACUGCGAGUGUAGAGGUGAAAUUCGUAGAUAUUCGCAAGAACACCAGUGGCGAAGGCGGCUCACUGGCCCGAUACUGACGCUGAGGCACGAAAGCGUGGGGAGCAAACAGG